AUACUUAUCUGGCACGGGGGAUACCAUGAUCAUGAAGGCGGUUUUCCCAGGGUGAUGCUUAUCCAUUGCACCCCAGAUGUGCUGACCCCUGUGAUUUCCCCAAAUGUAGGAAACUUGAAUGCAUAAUUUGUGGUAGUGGGGGACUGAGUUUGCGCUCUCUCCUU